rnacentral:rRNA from 1 species
CGAACGGGUGAGUAACGCGUGAGGAACCUGCCUCAAAGAGGGGGACAACAGUUGGAAACGACUGCUAAUACCGCAUAAGCCCACGGCUCGGCAUCGAGCAGAGGGAAAAGGAGUGAUCCGCUUUGAGAUGGCCUCGCGUCCGAUUAGCUGGUUGGUGAGGUAACGGCCCACCAAGGCGACGAUCGGUAGCCGGACUGAGAGGUUGAACGGCCACAUUGGGACUGAGACACGGCCCAA